CCCCGCCCCGGCCCCAUCUCACCGCUCACUGCUCCGCUGUGCCGCGGCCGCCCGUCCCCAGCGAGCGGCUGCGAUCCGGGAUCCCUGGAGCAUCCUGCAGCCAUGGACGGGGCCAAGCACCACCACGGCGACCAUGCCAAGAAGCACAAGGACGGACACUCCUCUGACUCCAGCUCCAGCUCCAGCUCCAGUAAUGGGGAGAAGGCAAG